GGAUGGCCUAGUUGGAUGGCCUACGGCCGUCAUUGCCGUCAUUGCGGAGGACGUCGGUUCGAAUCCGGCCAUGGCCG
rnacentral:tRNA from 1 species